CUCUGAGAUACCCUGAAGCCCAUUCUUUCUUGAAAAAGGAUCUAUUCUUCCAGUCUUCUGUCUUAGGAGCCUACAAACAUGAAGCUCUUCCUUGUAACUUUCCUAAUGGCUUUCCUGGCUGUCCAGGCUAAAAGAGCUGAUGGCUCAUCUGAAGAGGGAUAUGUUGAAGAAUAUCUUCAGGGUGAUGUGUACCCUGAAUAUUCUGAAGAUGCUGGUUAUCCUGAGAAUCCUGGAUAUGGUCCAAAUCCUGGAAAUUCUGGAUAUCCUGGGAAUCCUGGAUAUGGUUCAAAUCCUGGAAAUCCCCCGUAUUAAGAAAUCCUCAAAAUGCACCCCAAGGAGAACCUCAAUAAACACAGGUAAAGGUUUGCCUGGAAGACUGAUUCAAUCCUUCUAUGGAUCUACAAGUCUACAAAUUCAUGACUCUCUCCAUCUGCCUACUUAGCAGUCUCCAUUAUUGAGCAUGAGAUGGUAGCUCCAAGCUUGUUAUAUUAACACCAAUCAUUCUCCCAAAGGACUAAUGCUCUCCUUUAUACUCUCUAUAUAAUAAACUCAGCUCACGGCGUA